UCCUGGGCUAGAUCUGCUGGGCACAUAAUGCUUGUGAUGGGCUUAAGCCUCAGACCAGGAACUGCUGAUCUCCAUAGAGUGUCACCUGGGAGGUGAUGAGCACAGACAAAGGCACCUCUUUAAUUUUUAUAGUGCUGCUAAGCCUGCUCUUUUGUAGGGUUGGAUUUAGCACAGAGCCUAUGGCUGCCUGAUGACGUGUGAAUGGGAUGUCGAAUGGGAGUGGAACUGACCUUAGAGCUGAUGACAAGUUGUACUGGCAAAAGCUGGUGUAACUGAGUGAGGGCUGAAGCCUUGUAGCAGAAAAACCAAGACAGGCUUGGACCAGGGUGCAGGAAGCAGGCACAAAUAUGCAAUAUGGCAACUACUUAUUGAAACAGCAAACACCAUGACAGAGGGGUGAUUAGGGCACAGAUGGCUCACGGAGAGCAUUGUCUUAGAAGAAGCAAAACCAAACAAGGUAUACAGUGUGGUCUGCAUGAAGUCAUCAAGCUAUCAUCUUCUGAAACAAGGGAGAAAAUUGCCUACCAACUAAGGAGUCAUGGAGCACUCUCAUGUCUUCAGUAUGGCAAGCACUCAGUCCAGUAACUUCUUACAGAAGCUCAGGUCCACUCUCCAGGAAUCAGCUACCAGAAAUACCAUGCUACAUUAAAUGUCUGAGCUGUCACUGUAGCAGAGUAAAGCUAACAACUGUG